GCGGAAGUAGCUCAGGUGGUAGAGCAUCGCCCUUCCAGGGUGAGGGUCAUGGGUUCGAACCCCAUCUUCCGCU
rnacentral:tRNA from 1 species